UUGAAACACCGGUUCUCGUAUGAUCACGGAAGUUAAGCAACGUCGAGUCUGGUCAGUACCUAGAUGGAUAACUUCUUGGGAAUAUCAGGCGC